rnacentral:pre_miRNA from 1 species
GAUCAAAGUAUGGCGAAAGAUCGGAAAUUUUGAUAUGUUUGUUUGUAUAUGUAUAUUUAUAUAAAUUUUAAUGAUACACCAUGUCAAGUAUUUGAAUUUUAAGUUUAUACUUUGAUG